rnacentral:rRNA from 1 species
UACAGAGGUCUCAAGCGUUGUUCGGAUUCAUUGGGCGUAAAGGGUGCGUAGGUGGCGGGGCAAGUUUGGUGUGAAAUCCCGGGGCUCAACCCCGGAACUGCACUGAAUACUGCCUUGCUUGAGCACUGGAGAGGGAACUGGAAUUUACGGUGUAGCAGUGAAAUGCGUAGAUAUCGUAAGGAAGACCAGUGGCGAAGGCGAGUUCCUGGACAGUUGCUGACACUGAGGCACGAAAGGCUAGGGGAGCAAACGGG